UACGUAGGGUGCGAGCGUUGUCCGGAAUUACUGGGCGUAAAGAGCUCGUAGGUGGUUUGUCGCGUUGUUCGUGAAAUCUCACGGCUUAACUGUGAGCGUGCGGGCGAUACGGGCAGACUAGAGUACUGCAGGGGAGACUGGAAUUCCUGGUGUAGCGGUGGAAUGCGCAGAUAUCAGGAGGAACACCAAUGGCGAAGGCAGCACUCUGGGACGUGACUGACGCUGAGACGCGAAAGCGUGGGGAGCGAACAGG
rnacentral:rRNA from 1 species